rnacentral:rRNA from 1 species
UACGUGGGGGGCAAGCGUUUGUUCGGAAUUACUGGGCGUAAAGGGCGCGUAGGCGGCACAGCAAGUCGGGAGUGAAAGCCCGGGGCUCAACCCCGGAAUGGCUUUCGAAACUGCUGAGCUAGAGUACAGAAGGGGCAACCGGAAUUCCCAGUGUAGCGGUGAAAUGCGUAGAUAUUGGGAAGAACACCUGAGGCGAAGGCGGGUUGCUGGGCUGAUACUGACGCUGAGGUGCGAAAGCGUGGGGAGCAAACAGG